UACGAACCGUGCGAACGUUGUUCGGAAUCACUGGGCAUAAAGGGCGCGUAGGCGGCUUAUCAAGUCAGGGGUGAAAUCCGGCAGCUCAACUGUCGAAGUGCCUUUGAUACUGAUGAGCUCGAGGGAGGUAGGGGUGUGCGGAACUUCCGGUGGAGCGGUGAAAUGCGUAGAUAUGCGGAGGAACACCGAUGGCGAAGGCAGCUUGCUGGGCCGACCCUGACGCUAAGGCACGAAAGCGUGGGGAGCGAACAGG
rnacentral:rRNA from 1 species